rnacentral:rRNA from 1 species
AACGAACGCUGGCGGCAUGCCUAACACAUGCAAGUCGAACGAAGCCUUCGGGCUUAGUGGCGCACGGGUGCGUAACGCGUGGGAAUCUGCCCUUAGGUACGGAAUAACUCAGGGAAACUUGUGCUAAUACCGUAUGAUGUCGAAAGACCAAAGAUUUAUCGCCUAGGGAUGAGCCCGCGUUGGAUUAGCUAGUUGGUGAGGUAAAGGCUCACCAAGGCGACGAUCCAUAGCUGGUCUGAGAGGAUGAUCAGCCACACUGGGACUGAGACACGGCCCAGACUCCUACGGGAGGCAGCAGUGGGGAAUAUUGGACAAUGGGCGAAAGCCUGAUCCAGCAAUGCCGCGUGAGUGAAGAAGGCCUUCGGGUUGUAAAGCUCUUUUACCCGGGAAGAUAAUGACUGUACCGGGAGAAUAAGCCCCGGCUAACUCCGUGCCAGCAGCCGCGGUAA